AUUGAACGCUGGCGGCAUGCCUUACACAUGCAAGUCGAACGGCAGCACGGGGGCAACCCUGGUGGCGAGUGGCGAACGGAUGAGUAAUGCAUCGGAACGUGCCCAGUAGUGGGGGAUAACCAGUCGAAAGGCUGGCUAAUACCGCAUACGACCUACGGGUGAAAGCGGGGGACCGUAAGGCCUCGCGCUAUUGGAGCGGCCGAUGUCUGAUUAGCUAGUUGGCGGGGUAAGAGCCCACCAAGGCGACGAUCAGUAGCUGGUCUGAGAGGACGACCAGCCACAAUGGGACUGAGACACGGCCCAGACUCCUACGGGAGGCAGCAGUGGGGAAUUUUGGACAAUGGGCGCAAGCCUGAUCCAGCCAUGCCGCGUGCGGGAAGAAGGCCUUCGGGUUGUAAACCGCUUUUGGCAGGAACGAAACGGCGCAAGCCAAUACCUUGCGCUAAUGACGGUACCUGCAGAAUAAGCACCGGCUAACUACGUGCCAGCAGCCGCAGUAAAAC
rnacentral:rRNA from 1 species